GACGAACGCUGGCGGCGUGCCUAAUACAUGCAAGUAGAACGCUGAAGGAGGAGCUUGCUCUUCUGGACGAGUUGCGAACGGGUGAGUAACGCGUAGGUAACCUGCCUGGUAGCGGGGGAUAACUAUUGGAAACGAUAGCUAAUACCGCAUAACAGUAGAUGUUGCAUGACAUUUGCUUAAAAGGUGCAAUUGCACCACUACCAGAUGGACCUGCGUUGUAUUAGCUAGUUGGUGGGGUAACGGCUCACCAAGGCGACGAUACAUAGCCGACCUGAGAGGGUGAUAGGCCACACUGGGACUGAGACACGGCCCAGACUCCUACGGGAGGCAGCAGUAGGGAAUCUUCGGCAAUGGACGGAAGUCUGACCGAGCAACGCCGCGUGAGUGAAGAAGGUUUUCGGAUCGUAAAGCUCGGUUGUAAGAGAAGAACGAGUGUGAGAGUGGAAAGUUCACACUGUGACGGUAUCUUACCAGAAAGGGACGGCUAACUACGUG
rnacentral:rRNA from 1 species